CUUCUUUUUAAGUAGAGGGGUGUGGUUUGAGUUUAUACCUGCUGCAGAGAUCUCUUACUUCCUGACAUCAAUACACCUUGCUGAUACAGAUCCUUGAAACAGACACUUCUUCUAUAAUUGGCCUCAGAGAAAAGACAGCCGGUCAUCUUGGAAUGGAUCAGACUUGGACUCACUUCUAGCCUGGAUAAGGGCCACAGGUACACCCAGCAAAGCGUUACCUCUCACCUGCAAGGAAGAACUGAGUCUCUGUGAAGAGGGUUUCUGCUAAAGCUGUGAUUGCUCAUCCCGGAGUCACUGGACUGACUCGGCAAG